rnacentral:rRNA from 1 species
AGUGAACGCUGGCGGCAGGCCUAACACAUGCAAGUCGAGCGGCAGCGCGGGGGGCAACCCUGGCGGCGAGCGGCGGACGGGUGAGGAAUGCAUCGGAAUCUACCUCGUUGUGGGGGAUAACCUCGGGAAACCGGGACUAAUACCGCAUACGACCUACGGGUGAAAGUGGGGGACCUUCGGGCCUCACGCGAUGAGAUGAGCCGAUGCCGGAUUAGCUAGUUGGCGGGGUAAAGGCCCACCAAGGCGACGAUCCGUAGCUGGUCUGAGAGGAUGAUCAGCCACACUGGAACUGAGACACGGUCCAGACUCCUACGGGAGGCAGCAGUGGGGAAUAUUGGACAAUGGGCGCAAGCCUGAUCCAGCCAUGCCGCGUGCGUG